GCAAGUCGAACGCUCCCUUCGGGGGGAGUGGCGGACGGGUGAGUAUCGCGUGGGAACCUAGCCUUUGGUACGGAACAACCGCGGGAAACUGCGGCUAAUACCGUAUAUUCCCUCCGGGGGAAAGAUUCAUCGCCAAGGGAUGGGCCCGCGUCUGAUUAGCUAGUUGGUGAGGUAAUGGCUCACCAAGGCAUCGAUCAGUAGCUGGUCUGAGAGGAUGAUC
rnacentral:rRNA from 1 species